CUACGGGUCGCAGCAGUGAGGAAUAUUGCACAAUGGGGGGAACCCUGAUGCAGCAACGCCGCGUGGAGGAUGACGCAUUUCGGUGUGUAAACUCCUUUUAUAUGUCAAGAAAAUGACGGUAGCAUAUGAAUAAGCACCGGCUAACUCCGUGCCAGCAGCCGCGGUAAUACGGAGGAUGCAAGCGGUACUCGGAAUCACUGGGCGUAAAGGACGCGUAGGCGGGUUGGAAAGUCAGGUGUGAAAUCCUACAGCUUAACUGUAGAACUGCACUUGAAACUUCUAAUCUAGAGUAUGGGAGGGGGAGAUGGAAUUAGUGGUGUAGGGGUAAAAUCCGUAGAUAUCACUAGGAAUACCUAAAGCGAAGGCGAUCUCCUGGAACAUUACUGACGCUAAGGCGUGAAAGCGUGGGGAGCAAACAGGAUUAGAUACCCCCGUAGUC
rnacentral:rRNA from 1 species